rnacentral:lncRNA from 1 species
AAUCCCCAUCCUCUAAUAUAUUCUUUAUGCUUAGAGACCAGAACUACAAAGGUAACUGAGUUAAGAAGACAGCCAAUAUCUUGGUCCUGGCCCUCCAAGGUCAACAAAUAAUCCAGGACUUGUGAGAACCUUUUCUACAAGAUCCUACAACUUUGUUGAUCUAUCUCUUUGUGAAAGUGGGGUUUUACCUCAGUUGCCCGUGAACUAGCACAAACAAUCAACAAAUGGGAUCUCUUCUUAUUAAAAAGCUUCUGCACGGCAAGAGAAACCACCAGCAGUGUGAAGAGACAACCCACAAUGGGGGAAAAAAUCUUCACCUGCUCUUCCUCAGACAAAGCUCUACUAUCUCGAAUCUAUAAAGAACUUAAAAAGAUCAGACCUCC